rnacentral:rRNA from 1 species
UACGUAGGGUGCAAGCGUUAAUCGGAAUUACUGGGCGUAAAGAGCUCGUAGGCGGUUUGUCGCGUCUGCCGUGAAAGUCCGGGGCUCAACUCCGGAUCUGCGGUGGGUACGGGCAGACUAGAGUGAUGUAGGGGAGACUGGAAUUCCUGGUGUAGCGGUGAAAUGCGCAGAUAUCAGGAGGAACACCGAUGGCGAAGGCAGGUCUCUGGGCAUUAACUGACGCUGAGGAGCGAAAGCUGGGAGCGAACAGG